CUCUUAUCCAGAGUGGCGGAGGGACGGGCCCGAUGAUGCACGGCAACCCUGAUUUUUGAAUCAGAAGGUGCCAAUUCCUGUAGAGGUUUGAUACCUCUAGAAGAUAAGAG
rnacentral:ncRNA from 1 species